UUGACCUCGGAUCAGGUAGGGAUACCCGCUGAACUUAAGCAUAUCAAUAAGCGGAGGAAAAGAAACCAACCGGGAUUGCCCUAGUAACGGCGAGUGAAGCGGCAAGAGCUCAAAUUUGAAAGCUGGCUCCUUCGGGGUCCGCAUUGUAAUUUGCAGAGGAUGCUUCGGGAGCGGUCCCCAUCUAAGUGCCCUGGAACGGGCCGUCAUAGAGGGUGAGAAUCCCGUAUGGGAUGGGGUGCCCGCGCCCGUGUGAAGCUCCUUCGACGAGUCGAGUUGUUUGGGAAUGCAGCUCUAAUUGGGUGGUAAAUUUCAUCUAAAGCUAAAUAUUGGCCGGAGACCGAUAGCGCACAAGUAGAGUGAUCGAAAGAUGAAAAGCACUUUGAAAAGAGAGUUAAACAGCACGUGAAAUUGUUGAAAGGGAAGCGCUUGCGAUCAGACUCGCUCGCGGGGUUCAGCCGGCCUUCGGGCCGGUGUACUUCCCCGCGGGCGGGCCAGCGUCGGUUUGGGCGGCCGGUCAAAGGCCCCUGGAAUGUAACGCCUCUCGGGGCGUCUUAUAGCCAGGGGUGCCAUGCGGCCUGCCCGGACCGAGGAACGCGCUUCGGCUCGGACGCUGGCAUAAUGGUCGUAAGCGACC
rnacentral:rRNA from 1 species